CGCCCUCAUAUAGCGACCUGUCCCACCCUAUUAUCAGUGGGGAAGUCUUCGUCCCAAUCCCAAACUUUUGUGGAAUGCGAUAUGGGAGCAAUCCUUGCUUCUGACUUGCACCGUUGCCAUAUUUACAAAAUCCGUUUUGUGCAUACCCAUAAAACGUUUUUCAUGCUAAACGCGCAACAAGAACUUCAGUGAUUGAGAUGAUGAUCAGCAGGCAAAACAAAAAGAUGAAGCCGAAAAUUUCUUUUCUUCUAGGAGAAAAAGCAAUAAAAUGAGUGGCCUGUGAAGUUGAAGUUUUAAAGAGAGAGUCCAAG
rnacentral:misc_RNA from 1 species